GGGGUUGUGGCUCAGCGGUAGAGCACUUGCCUCGCACGUGCAAGACCCUGGGUUCAAUCCUCAGCACCACA
rnacentral:tRNA from 1 species